rnacentral:tRNA from 2 species
GGUCCCGUAGCUCAGUCGGAUAGAGCGCCAGAUUCCUAAUCUGGAGGCCAUAGGUUCGAAUCCUAUCGGGAUCACCA